UACCGGAUAAGCCCGAGAGGGGUAAAGAUUUAUCGCCGAAGGAUUGGCCGCGUCCGAUUAGCUAGUUGGUGAGGUAAUGGCUCACCAAGGCGACGAUCGGUAGCUGGUCUGAGAGGAUGAUCAGCCACACUGGGACUGAGACACGGCCCAGACUCCUACGGGAGGCAGCAGUGGGAAUAUUGGACAAUGGGCGCAAGCCUGAUCCAGCCAUGCCGCGUGAGUGAUGAAGGCCCUAGGGUUGUAAAGCUCUUUCGCCAGGGACGAUAAUGACGGUACCUGGAUAAGAAGCCCCGGCUAACUUCGUG
rnacentral:rRNA from 1 species